UUCUUCUUCUUCCUCUUUUUUGUCUUCUUCUUCCUCGGUUAUCUUUCUUCUUUUGGUUGGUGGUUCGUCGUCAGUCAUUGCAGAUUUUCUUGAGGGAGAAACGAAAAAGAGGGAGGGGGCGAGUGGACACAACAAUGUGACCAAAAACAGUAACUGUUCUGAAAAGGAAAAAAGAAAAGUUUUGAAAAAGAUUUGAAGAAGAUUUGAAAAAGAAGAAGAAAAAAACUAUCCCAAUUGUUGUCACA
rnacentral:ribozyme from 13 species